GUUGUUUGGGAAUGCAGCUCUAAAUGGGAGGUAAAUUCCUUCUAAAGCUAAAUACUGGCCAGAGACCGAUAGCGCACAAGUAGAGUGAUCGAAAGAUGAAAAGCACUUUGGAAAGAGAGUGAAACAGCACGUGAAAUUGUUGAAAGGGAAGCGCUUGCAGCCAGACGUGCCCGCAGUUGCUCACCUGGGGUUUUCCCCAGGGCACUCUUCUGCGGGCAGGCCAGCAUCAGUUUGGGCGGUUGGACAAAAGCCUGCUAAACGUACCUCCCUCCGGGGAGGACUUAUAGGGUAGGUGGCAUACAACCAGCCUAGACUGAGGACCGCGCAU
rnacentral:rRNA from 1 species